AGCAGCCGCGGUAAUUCCAGCUCCAAUAGCGUAUAUUAAAGUUGCUGCAGUUAAAAAGCUCGUAGUUGAAUUUCGGGACCGAUAUAUCGGUCGUGCCUCGGUACGUACUGGUAUUUUCGGUUUCUCCCUUCUGACGAACCUUGAUGUCAUUAAUUUGGUGUCUUGGGGAAUCAGGACUGUUACUUUGAAAAAAUUAGAGUGUUUAAAGCAGGCUCACGCUUGAAUACAUUAGCAUGGAAUAAUGAAAUAGGACGUUUGAUUCUAUUUUGUUGGUUUCUAGGAUCGACGUAAUGAUUAAUAGGGAUAGUUGGGGGCAUUAGUAUUCAAUUGUCAGAGGUGAAAUUCUUGGAUUUAUUGAAGACUAACUACUGCGAAAGCAUUUGCCAAGGAUGUUUUCAUUAAUCAAGAACGAAAGUUAGGGGAUCGAAGACGAUCAGAUACCGUCGUAGUCUUAACCAUAAACUAUGCCGACUAGGGAUCGGAUGAUGUUAAUUUUUUAAUGACUCAUUCGGCGCCUUAC
rnacentral:rRNA from 1 species